CCUUACAACCCACAGGCCCUUCCCACCCUUCCUCCUCAAGCAUUUCCCAGAGUCUGUCUUUCCCAUGUUUGUGUCCAUGUGCAUUCAAUGUUUAGCUCCCACUUCUAAGGGAAAAUGUGCAGUAUUUGUUUUUCUGUUCCUACACUGGUCCAUUUAUGACAAUGUCUUCCAGCUGUAUCCAUACACAUAACAGUGUGAGUGAGAGAGAUAGGCAUCUUUACUGUUUUAUUACUGUUACACAUGUUUAUUACUGCAUGAUCUUGAGAUUCAACAUCAGAAUUCUUUAUUAUAAUGUUAGAGUCAGAUUACUAUAAUGUUAGCUUUAGAAUUUUGAUAAUGGAUUUAAUAAGGAUUACACACAUGUAUUUAUAUAUACACAUACACAUUACUCAUAAUUGAGUGUAUGUGUAUACAAAUAUAUUUAUAAACACUCAUACACUUAAUGUAUUUAUCUUAUACACAUUGCUUAUAAUCUAUUAUAGAAGAUUACAAAACACUUUUAAAUUCAAAUUUAUGUAUUUAUUCUAUAACUGUAUUUGAAUUUCAAAUUUUAAAAUUCAAAUCAGCAGUAUGCUUUAAAUAAUCCCAACUUCUACAUUUUAAUAUCAUGUGCUAAGCAAAGACUAAAGUAUUUUAUGUUAUUAUUGUUUUAUGCUUAUUUGGAAAUAUUUUAAUGUAACUGAUAUUAGCCAGAUAUUUAUAAAAAAUAUUUUUGUAUUAAGAAGUGACUUCCAAAUUAUUUUACAUACAUUCUUAGAGUAUUUAUGAAUAACCUGAACUAAAGUGAUACACCAGACUCGGCCUCCCAAAGUGCUGGCAUUACAGGCAUUAGCCACCACACCCACCUAUUUUACUUACUGGAACUGCCUUGAAUCCAGAUGAGAACUUUAGGGUCAUUUCUGCCACACUCUUGUGUACCUUCUUGACCUUCAAUCUCUUGCAAAAUCCCUCUUCUGGUGUAAGAUUUUUGAAGAUCUCCACAUGAAAACUAUAAAACAUGGAUGAAAGAAAUUGAAAUAGACACAGUAAAUGGAAAGAUAUUUAAUGUUCAUGAAUUGGAAUAAUUAAUAUUGUUAAAAUGUUCAUAUUACUUAAAGAGACUUACAGAUUCAAUGCAAUUUCUGUCAAUCUUUUUGAUGUGUUAUUGGAUUCUAUUUGCUAGUAUUUUGUUGAGGAUUUUUGCAUCUGUGCUCUCAAUACUUUGCAAUAGUUUCAGUAGGAUUGGUAUCAAUUGUUGUUUGAAUAUCUGGUAGAAUUUGAUUGUGAAUUCCUGUGGCCUUGGGUUUUCUUUG
rnacentral:lncRNA from 1 species